UAUUUGUGAAAGGUGUAUCGAUCGAUAUCCCUAUAGGACCAUCGAUUGACACUUUUUUCUGGUCAACAAACGACAGUUGAGAUCCAAGAUCUAGUUAGUUAACCAAUGAAACAUUGCCAUCGCUGAUCACUGUGUCUAAGGGGUUGAGCUCUAAUACAUCAUGCAUGCAACUGAUAGGCAUCUAUAGGAUUAUAAUCUCCAACGCCUGAAUAGAAACCCUGCAUCUAAUACCUUUCCAAUUAGUUACACCC
rnacentral:lncRNA from 1 species